GACAGAGGGUGCAAACGUUGCUCGGAAUUACUGGGCGUAAAGCGUGCGCAGGCGGUUUUGUAAGUCAGAUGUGAAAUCCCCGGGCUUAACCUGGGAACUGCGUUUGAAACUACAAGGCUAGAGUGUGGCAGAGGGGGGUGGAAUUCCACGUGUAGCAGUGAAAUGCGUAGAGAUGUGGAGGAACACCGAUGGCGAAGGCAGCCCCCUGGGUUAACACUGACGCUCAGGCACGAAAGCGUGGGGAGCAAACAGG
rnacentral:rRNA from 1 species